GUGCAAGCGUUAAUCGGAAUUACUGGGCGUAAAGGGUACGUAGGCGGUUAAAUAAGUUGGAUGUGAAAGCCCCGGGCUCAACCUGGGAACUGCAUUCAAAACUGUUUGACUAGAGUGUAUGAGAGGUUAGCGGAAUUCCAGGUGUAGCAGUGAAAUGCGUAGAUAUCUGGAGGAACAUCAGUGGCGAAGGCGGCUAACUGGCAUAACACUGACGCUGAGGUACGAAAGCGUGGGGAGCGAACGGGAUUAGAUACCCCGGUAGUCCACGCCCUAAACGAUGAGAACUAGCUGUUGGUUGCGUAAAUGCAGUCAGUAGCGAAGCUAACGCGUUAAGUUCUCCGCCUGGGGAGUACGACCGCAAGGUUGAAACUCAAAGGAAUUGACGGGGGCCCGCACAAGCGGUGGAGCAUGUGGUUUAAUUCGAUGCAACGCGAAGAACCUUACCAUCCCUUGACAUCCUCAGAAUUUGUCGUAAUGACUUAGUGCCUUCGGGAACUGAGUGACAGGUGCUGCACGGCUGUCGUCAGCUCGUGUCGUGAGAUGUUGGGUUAAGUCCCGCAACGAGCGCAACCCCUAUCUUUAGUUGCCAGCACGUAAUGGUGGGAACUCUAGAGAGACUGCCGGUGAUAAGCCGGAGGAAGGUGGGGACGACGUCAAGUCAUCAUGGCCCUUACGGGAUGGGCUACACACGUGCUACAAUGGUGCAUACAGAGGGUUGCCAACCCGCGAGGGGGAGCUAAUCCCAGAAAGUGCAUCUUAGUCCGGAUCGCAGUCUGCAACUCGACUGCGUGAAGUUGGAAUCGCUAGUAAUCGCGAAUCAGCAACGUCGCGGUGAAUACGUUCCCGGGCCUUGUACACACCGCCCGUC
rnacentral:rRNA from 1 species